rnacentral:tRNA from 1 species
UAGCUCAGUUGGUUAGAGCGCCUGUCUGUGGCACAGGAGGUCGGGGGUUCAAUUCCCCU